rnacentral:rRNA from 1 species
CAGGACGAACGCUGGCGGCGUGCCUAAUACAUGCAAGUAGAACGCUGAAGAGAGGAGCUUGCUCUUCUUGGAUGAGUUGCGAACGGGUGAGUAACGCGUAGGUAACCUGCCUUGUAGCGGGGGAUAACUAUUGGAAACGAUAGCUAAUACCGCAUAACAAUGGAUGACACAUGUCAUUUAUUUGAAAGGGGCAAUUGCUCCACUACAAGAUGGACCUGCGUUGUAUUAGCUAGUAGGUGAGGUAACGGCUCACCUAGGCGACGAUACAUAGCCGACCUGAGAGGGUGAUCGGCCACACUGGGACUGAGACACGGCCCAGACUCCUACGGGAGGCAGCAGUAGGGAAUCUUCGGCAAUGGGGGCAACCCUGACCGAGCAACGCCGCGUGAGUGAAGAAGGUUUUCGGAUCGUAAAGCUCUGUUGUAAGUCAAGAACGAGUGUGAGAGUGGAAAGUUCACACUGUGACGGUAGCUUACCAGAAAGGGACGGCUAACUACGUGCCAC